UUAUAUUUUAUGAUCAAAUUAAGCUUUUGAGAAAUAAUUUCUCAAGGGCUUUCAUAACUGAAGGGUGUCUGUGUGGAAUGUUCAUGGUAUGUAACCUGAGUCAUGUCAGGUGGCUGCCUGUCAAUGGGUAUGAAUAGCACUUAAUUUCAUGAGUAAUUGCAGUGCCGCUGGCCCUGAGCCAGCACUAUAGCUUCAGAUAUUAAUAGAGAUAUUUCAUGUCCCCAGACUGUGUGUUAUAGUUAUAAUCUUGAUAUGAACACAGGCAAAAUAUAAUGACUGACACUCUCUUAACUUGGAUGUAAUAACUUGUUUCCGUUUUAAGUUCUUGAUAUUUUCACUCUGUUUCUUUAGUCUGAAUGUAAUUUCAGAUGCCAAAGGCACGGUUAUUUUUGAAAGAAAGAUGCUGGAGAAAUUAUCAAAGAGAAGAAUGUCUUGAAAGAUUACUUUAGAGCAGUGGUUCUCAACUGUCCUAAUGCUGUGACCCUCUAGUACAGUUUUUCAUGUAAGAACUCAGUCUACAAUGAAAGAGAAUGCACCGCGGAUGCACUGAUGUCUUCAAAGCUGUUAUCUAUACAGUUCUCGCCCCUAAGGCUGCUGCACUGGUCCCUCCAGCGUAGGACACGAUCUGUGCUCAGAGUCAGGAUUCUGAACCUGCUUCCCAGUGGCAUCGUGCCCUUCUCAAG